rnacentral:rRNA from 1 species
UUGAACGCUGGCGGCAUGCCUUACACAUGCAAGUCGAACGGGCAGCACGGGAGCAAUCCUGGUGGCGAGUGGCGAACGGGUGAGUAAUAUAUCGGAACGUGCCCAGUCGUGGGGGAUAACGUAGCGAAAGCUACGCUAAUACCGCAUACGAUCUAUGGAUGAAAGCGGGGAUCGCAAGACCUCGCGCGAUUGGAGCGGCCGAUAUCAGAUUAGGUAGUUGGUGAGGUAAAGGCUCACCGAGCCGACGAUCUGUAGCUGGUCUGAGAGGACGACCAGCCACACUGGGACUGAGACACGGCCCAGACUCCUACGGGAGGCAGCAGUGGGGAAUUUUGGACAAUGGGCGCAAGCCUGAUCCAGCAAUGCCGCGUGCAGGAUGAAGGCCUUCGGGUUGUAAACUGCUUUUGUACGGAACGAAACGGUGAGCUCUAAUACAGUUUGCUAAUGACGGUACCGUAAGAAUAAGCACCGGCUAACUACGUG